rnacentral:rRNA from 1 species
GACGAACCGUCCAAACGUUAUUCGGAAUCACUGGGCUUACAGAGUUCGUAGGCGGUCUGGAAAGUUGGGUGUGAAAUCCCUCGGCUCAACCGAGGAACUGCGCUUGAAACUACCAGACUCGAGGGAGAUAGAGGAAAGCGGAACUGAUGGUGGAGCGGUGAAAUGCGUAGAUAUCGGGAGGAACGCCGGUGGCGAAAGCGACUGUCUGGGGUGCUUGUGACGCUGAGGCGCGAAAGCCAGGGGAUCAAACGGG